CAAACGGCUCUUUUAAGAGCCAGACACACAAAUCAUUGAGCAAACG
rfam:Gasterosteus aculeatus cont1.010913, whole genome shotgun sequence.